rnacentral:rRNA from 1 species
CCUACGGGGGGCAGCAGUGGGGGAUAUUGCACAAUGGAGGGAACUCUGAUGCAGCGACGCCGCGUGAGGGAAGAAGGUUUUCGGAUUGUAAACCUCUGUCUUCGGUGACGAAACGAGACGGUAGCCGAGGAGGAAGCCACGGCUAACUACGUGCCAGCAGCCGCGGUAAUACGUAGGUGGCAAGCGUUGUCCGGAAUUACUGGGUGUAAAGGGAGCGUAGGCGGGAAAGCAAGUUGAAUGUUUAAGGUACGGGCUCAACCUGUACAAGCGUUCAAAACUGUUUUUCUUGAGUGGAGUAGAGGUAAGCGGAAUUCCUAGUGUAGCGGUGAAAUGCGUAAAUAUUAGGAGGAACACCAGUGGCGAAGGCGGCUUACUGGGCUUUAACUGACGCUGAGGCUCGAAAGCGUGGGUAGCAAACAGGAUUAGAUACCCGUGUAG